rnacentral:rRNA from 1 species
CCUACGGGAGGCAGCAGUCGAGGAUCUUCGGCAAUGGACGAAAGUCUGACCGAGCAACGCCGCGUGUGCGAUGAAGGCCUUCGGGUUGUAAAGCACUGUCGAGGGGAAACAAGCCGUAAGGUUGAGUGACCCCUGGAGGAAGCACGGGCUAAGUUCGUGCCAGCAGCCGCGGUAAGACGAACCGUGCAAACGUUAUUCGGAAUCACUGGGCUUAAAGGGCGCGUAGGCGGGUAAUCAAGUCAAUGGUGAAAUCCUCCAGCUUAACUGGAGAAGUGCCUUUGAUACUGGUUGUCUAGAGGGAGGUAGGGGCAUGUGGAACUUCAGGUGGAGCGGUGAAAUGCGUAGAUAUCUGAAGGAACGCCAGUGGCGAAAGCGAUGUGCUGGACCUCUUCUGACGCUGAGGCGCGAAAGCUAGGGGAUCAAACGGGAUUAGAUACCCCGGUAGUCCUAGCCCUAAACUAUGGGUACUAGAUUGUGGACUUUCAUGGGUUCACAGUCGAAGACAAAGUUGUUAACGUACCCCGCCGUGGGGAGGUAGUGGUCGCGAGGCGUGAAACGUACGAAAGGAAAGUUAAGGUACGGUCGUUGAGUACGUUGCCGAACGGCGACGACGAGGGAGGAGG